CAGAAAGCAGAAAAAUGCAGUUCAGUAGUCAGCACAAAGUUUUAUCAAACAACAGCUUCUUAAGAGAAUACUGGAGAUCUCUUAAAAUUCAAAUAAAAUAAUAAGUUUUGCUUUUAUUAACUAAAACCAACAUAUAUCCCUAUUUGAAAAGGGGAACUGCACCUUUGGUAAGUACCCUUAAAAUCAGGCAACCCAUAAUAGUCUUUCAAAUCAACUCUUUUCUUGGGAGCACAGCUUACUUGGUUUUCAAGUUAGCAAGAUCUGCUGUUCAAGUUUGUAAGUCAGCUGAGAAAGAUGAGUAAAACCCAUCACUUUGUUUUUACUUCAGCUGUGAAAUUAACAGUAAAGUAUGCCAUAUUCUGCUCCAAUACAUGACAACGAUCCACAUGACUGAAAAUACUCAUCCUAGAGUCUGACUUAAAAAAAGAAAAAAAGGCAACAAAAAACACAAAACCCCCGAAACAACACCCCUCCCAGACAGGCUGUUCUGUUGCCAUUGCAGUGCUGCAUUACGUCACAGUAACAGAGCAUUGUGGCUCCUUAUAACAUGACAUUCACUCCUGGUCCAUCAGCAAACUUCUGGGAAGCAGCCAGUCCUUGUUGAUACUGACACUUGUCCGUGUUUUUCUUACAAUCAAAGGCCAUCCUGGAUAGUUGAAGACACCACUACUUUCCAUACUGCUUUGAGCUGAGGAAGAUGCCAUGAAGGCAGCGACACAAGUGAACAUCCAAUUCUCCUCCUGUAUGAAGAAACCAGAAAUCACGUGUAUGCAAGGAUUUGUGCUGCUACAGGAGCACUGCUAUGCAGCAAACACAGUGAAGAGGGAGGAAGAGCCCUAAAGUGUGAGCUGCCAGCAAUAGGAAAAUAUGUGCUUCAGUAAACUACGCCCUCUUUUCUCCCUCCAGAUGACAGGAGCUGGUUAUUUCCUGACCCCUCCAUGCAGAAGGAAGAUAAGCAUUUUUCCAGAGCCCUGACUGCAGAGCUAAAGUCACCUUUAAUAAAUGAUACCCUUUUUAAGUCUGUGCAUUUGUACCACACAAUAUUUAAAAACUCUGCACUAUUAGUUUCCUCUAAUUCAGGAGGAAUAGGAAGUUGCUGUUUAUCUAUCCUGUCCAGACAGCUCUUCUAAGCUAGGGCAGAUAGAACACAGAUGAAACAUUUUUAGAAGGCAAACAUAUCCCAGCAAUUCUCCACAACAUAGUCUGUGGAGAAAAAAAUUGUUAUUUGCAAUUUCUCCACUGCUAUGCUGCAAAUACUCUAAAAUUGGUUGCUAUGAAGUUUAUUACUCAUCAUUCCCUUGAAUCAAAACCUUACAGCUUCUUAACAUCUAAAUGGACAAAAGAAAAGAAAGGUAACAUAGAAGUGAAGAGCACAGAAUCGUAGCUAAAGGGAUGGAGCUACAUGUGCACUGAAUCACAAAGGAAAAAUCACUCUGAAGAGAAUGCCUUGUCACACAAUAUCUGGUGCUGCUUGUUAUCAGCCCCAUCUCGCAAAACAGAACCAUAUACCAGAGGGAGACUGAAAGGAUAUACAAUUACUUGGACUGUUUUGAUGCUUUCCUGCUUAUGCUCAUUGCUAGACCAAAACCAAGACUUGUAAUUGUACUUUCUCCAAUCUCAUUCAGUCCAUACUUGAAAGCUGUUAUCUCUGUGUCUUGUAAGAAUGUAUAAAACCUCUGUUCCACUUCUGUUACACUUAUUUUUCACACUAGUUUUAUGCUUACUGAGA